GAUGAACGCUGGCGGCGUGCUUAACACAUGCAAGUCGAACGGAAAGGCCCAAGCUUGCUUGGGUACUCGAGUGGCGAACGGGUGAGUAACACGUGGGUGAUCUGCCCUGCACUUCGGGAUAAGCCUGGGAAACUGGGUCUAAUACCGGAUAGGACGAUGGUUUGGAUGCCAUUGUGGAAAGUUUUUUCGGUGUGGGAUGAGCUCGCGGCCUAUCAGCUUGUUGGUGGGGUAAUGGCCUACCAAGGCGUCGACGGGUAGCCGGCCUGAGAGGGUGUACGGCCACAUUGGGACUGAGAUACGGCCCAGACUCCUACGGGGGGCAGCAGUGGGGAAUAUUGCACAAUGGGCGCAAGCCUGAUGCAGCGACGCCGCGUGGGGGAUGACGGCCUUCGGGUUGUAAACUCCCUUCGCUAGGGACGAAGCGUUUUUGUGACGGUACCUGGAGAAGAAGCACCGGCUAACUACGUG
rnacentral:rRNA from 1 species